CCCGGGAGGCAGCAGUGGGGAAUAUUGGGCAAUGGGCGCAAGCCUGACCCAGCAACGCCGCGUGAGGGAAGAAGGUCUUCGGAUUGUAAACCUCUGUCCUUGGGGACGAAAAAAAUGACGGUACCCAAGGAGGAAGCUCCGGCUAACUACGUGCCAGCAGCCGCGGUAAUACGUAGGGAGCGAGCGUUGUCCGGAAUUACUGGGCGUAACGGGUGCGUGGGCGGCUUGGUAAGUCAGAUGUGAAAUCCCCGGGCUUAACUCGGGAGGUGCAUUUGAAACUGCUAGGCUUGAGUGCAGGAGAGGAAAGCGGAAUUCCUAGUGUAGCGGUGAAAUGCGUAGAUAUUAGGAGGAACACCAGUGGCGAAGGCGGUCUUCUGGACUGUAACUGACGCUGAGGCACGAAAGCGUGGGGAGCAAACA
rnacentral:rRNA from 1 species